AUUGAACGCUGGCGGCAGGCCUAACACAUGCAAGUCGAGCGGAUGAAGGGAGCUUGCUCCUGGAUUCAGCGGCGGACGGGUGAGUAAUGCCUAGGAAUCUGCCUGGUAGUGGGGGAUAACGUCCGGAAACGGGCGCUAAUACCGCAUACGUCCUGAGGGAGAAAGUGGGGGAGCUUCGGACCUCACGCUAUCAGAUGAGCCUAGGUCGGAUUAGCUAGUUGGUGGGGUAAAGGCCUACCAAGGCGACGAUCCGUAACUGGUCUGAGGGGAUGAUCAGUCACACUGGAACUGAGACACGGUCCAGACUCCUACGGGAGGCAGCAGUGGGGAAUAUUGGACAAUGGGCGAAAGCCUGAUCCAGCCAUGCCGCGUGUGUGAAGAAGGUCUUCGGAUUGUAAAGCACUUUUAUUUGGGAGGAAGGGCAGUAAGUUAAUACCUUGCUGUUUUGACGUUACCAACAGAAUAAGCACCGGCUAACUUCGUG
rnacentral:rRNA from 1 species